rnacentral:lncRNA from 1 species
UUCAUGUGGUGGAAAAUAAAUUUGAUAUGAAAUCAUCUGUUGAGGAUAGUUUAUGGUAUCAUGUGGGGAGGACAUGGGUCAGAUGUAUGAUGGUUAUGUCAUGAUGUGUAUGAUAUGCAAUGUAUGUUAUGGUGUACGCAGAAUACCGAAGUAUGCUCGGGCUGCUGGGGUAUGCAAAUGCACGGUCUAUAGAUUGUGCCAAAU